rnacentral:rRNA from 1 species
AGGACGAACGCUGGCGGCGUGCUUAACACAUGCAAGUCGAGCGGAAAGGCCCUUCGGAGUACUCGAGCGGCGAACGGGUGAGUAACACGUGAGCAACCUGCCCUUGGCUCUGGGAUAGCCUCCGGAAACGGGGAUUAAUACCGGACAUUCACUUUCUCCUGCAUGGGGGUUGGUGGAAAGUUUUUCGGCCAGGGAGGGGCUCGCGGCCUAUCAGCUUGUUGGCGGGGUAACGGCCCACCAAGGCGACGACGGGUAGCCGGCCUGAGAGGGCGAUCGGCCACACUGGGACUGAGACACGGCCCAGACUCCUACGGGAGGCAGCAGUGGGGAAUAUUGCACAAUGGGCGCAAGCCUGAUGCAGCGACGCCGCGUGGGGGAUGAAGGCCUUCGGGUUGUAAACCCCUUUCACCAGGAGCGAAUUCAGACGGUACCUGGGGAAGAAGCGCCGGCUAACGUACGCGCCAGCAGCCGC